rnacentral:rRNA from 1 species
AUGAAGAACAUAAUUCUGAUGGAUCAGGGGAUGGAGGGCUGGCCAUUGAUGAAUUGGACAAAGCUAUCUUUCCCUCAAAACAUGGAUCUACUAGCAAAAAAAGUGCAAAAGAGUUGGUGUUCUCACCCAUGGAACCCUACCAUGACUCGGAUCAGGACACCUUUGUUCUGGCAUAUUUUUGCUUCUGCUAAAACUGUCAAAACUUCUACAUCUUUUGAUGUGAUUGGGGAGCUGUGUGACCAAAACAAACAAAUGGUGGGCCCACAAAACAGAGCUGAUCCAUAUGUUGAUCAGGGUAAUGAGGAUAUGAUCCAAGGAACUCCUGCUACUAUCUGGAGAAAGGGGAGUGCAACAUUGGAUGGGGAAAAAUCUGAGAGUAUGGACUACUGUGAGGACCUACUUAAAUUUGUGGACUUAUCUGAGUCUGAAAAUGAGGAGCUGACAGAGGAGGAUUUGGGGGUUCUUCCCCCUGAAGCAAUCCAUAUCUUGCAAAGUGAGACACUGAAGAGAUCUCUGCUGGAUUCACUGAAUCAAGCCCAGAAGGAGGGAGUUAUCCCGGAGAAAGGUGUCAAGUGGGGGCCUGUGGUUGCAAAAAAACCUAACACAAGAGGACAUGGGAACAUCAACAUCAUGGAGAAAGCUGCUGCAUACAAGAGGAAAAAGAAUCUGGAGGUUCCUGAGACUUUUAAAGGAGGAAGGAAUUUGGUGGUCUUGGUGUCCCUAAUCUUAGGGAUUUUAACAUGGCCCUCCUAG